rnacentral:rRNA from 1 species
GGAUUGCAGGCUGCAACUCGCCUGCAUGAAGCUGGAAUUGCUAGUAAUCGCGGAUCAGCAUGCCGCGGUGAAUACGUUCCCGGGCCUUGUACACACCGCCCGUCACACCAUGAGAGUCGGGAACACCCGAAGUCCGUAGUCUAACCGCAAGGAGGGCGCGGCCGAAGGUGGGUCCGGUAAUUGGGGUGGAAGUCGUAACAAGGUAUC